AGCAGCCGCGGUAAUUCCAGCUCCAAUAGCGUAUAUUAAAGUUGUUGCAGUUAAAAAGCUCGUAGUUGAAUUUCGGGAUCAAUAUAUCGGUCGUGCCUUGGUACGUACUGGUAUCAUUGGUUUCUCCUUUCUGACGAACCAUGAUGUCAUUAAUUUGGUGUUAUGGGAAGUUAGGACUGUUACUUUAGAAAAAUUAGAGUAGUUUAAAGCAGGCUUUAGCUUGAAUACAUUAGCAUGGAAUAAUGAAAUAGGACGUUCGAACCUAUUUUGUUGGUUUCUAGGAUCAACGUAAUGAUUAAUAGGGAUAGUUGGGGGCAUUAGUAUUCAAUUGUCAGAGGCGAAAUUCUUGGAUUUAUUGAAGACUAACUACUGCGAAAGCAUUUGUCAAGGAUGUUUUCAUUAAUCAAGAACGAAAGUUAGGGGAUCGAAGACGAUCAGAUACCGUCGUAGUCUUAACCAUAAACUAUGCCGACUAGGGAUCGGAUGAUGUUAAUUUUUAA
rnacentral:misc_RNA from 1 species